UUGUGCCUACGGGGGGCAGCAGUGAGGAAUAUUGGUCAAUGGGCGGGAGCCUGAACCAGCCAAGUCGCGUGAGGGAAGAAGGUACUGAGUAUUGUAAACCUCUUUUGCCAGGGGACAAAGGCGGCCACGGGUGGCCGUAAGAGGGUACCUGGAGAAAAAGCAUCGGCUAACUCCGUGCCAGCAGCCGCGGUAAUACGGAGGAUGCGAGCGUUAUCCGGAUUUAUUGGGUUUAAAGGGUGCGUAGGCGGGCUUUUAAGUCAGCGGUAAAAAUUCGGGGCUCAACCCCGUCCGGCCGUUGAAACUGG
rnacentral:rRNA from 1 species